UGCAGAAAAGUUGAUUUUGUACCCAAGAGUGACUUGGUAGAACAAGAUCAUCAUCCACAUCAAAAGUAACCCACUGGACUGAUGAUACGGCUUAGUGAGUAAGGCUACCUACCCACCACCCAGGCCCUACAUGGUAUCAAGAGAACUGAUACUCGGAAGGUCUCCUCUCACCUACACACACACACACACACACACACACACACAUACACACAAUCUUUUCCUUCAUUGUGUUUGUUUGUGUUUGUUUGCUUUUUAAGUAGUCCUAGGCUGGAGAGAUGGCUAGAUGGUCAAGAGCCCUUCCAGAGGACUCAAGUCCAAUGCCCAGCACCCACACGGCAGCUCACAACUGUCUGUCACUCCAGUCUCGGGGGAUCUGAAGUUCUCUUCGGCCCUCUAUAGAUAGUAUAUACACAUGGGACACAGUCGUGCAUGCAAGCACCCACACAUAUAAAAUAGCAAAUGUUGGCUGGGUAGGGUGGUUCAUACUUGUAACCCUAACCAACACUUUGGAGGCUGAGACAGGAGGAUUCUAAGUUUGAGACUAACUUGGGCUGUAUAAUGAGACUGUGUCUCAAAGUGUUGCCAAAAAAAAAAAAAA
rnacentral:lncRNA from 1 species